rnacentral:rRNA from 1 species
AACCUAAAAAUACCUCUGAUAGUGAAGAUAUUCCUCUGGUUUUUAAGCAGAUGGGUCAUUUUAACUAGAGAUAACCUGGCACGACGUAACUGACAAGGUAGCAAGACAUGUUUCUUUUGCCAACAUGAUGAGUCUAUUAAAUACUUAUUUUUUUAGUGUAAGUUCGCUCGUGCAUUAUGA